rnacentral:rRNA from 1 species
AUGAAAACCAAAAGAAAGAAGAAAGAAAAAGGAAGAAGAAAAAAAGAAGAAGAAAGGAAGAAGAAAGGAAGAAGAAGAAAGAAAGAAAAAAGAAAAAGGAAGAAGAAGAAAGAAAGAAGACAGGAAGAAGAAGAAAGGAAGAAGAAGAAAGGAAGAAGAAGAAAGAAAGAAGAAGAAAGGAAAAAGGAAGAAGAAGAAAGGAAGAAGAAGAAAGAGGAAGAAGAAAGGAAGAAGAAGAAAGAAAGAAGAAAGAGGAAGAAGAAAGGAAGAAGAAGAAAAAAAGAAUUUUUACUUAAAGAAUCUUAUUUUUUAAUUCCUCCUCCUCUAUGUCCCCUUAAUCUUAUUUUUUAA